AGUGAACGCUGGCGGUAGGCCUAACACAUGCAAGUCGAACGGCAGCACAGUAAGAGCUUGCUCUUACGGGUGGCGAGUGGCGGACGGGUGAGGAAUACAUCGGAAUCUACUUUUUCGUGGGGGAUAACGUAGGGAAACUUACGCUAAUACCGCAUACGACCUACGGGUGAAAGCAGGGGAUCUUCGGACCUUGCGCGAUUGAAUGAGCCGAUGUCGGAUUAGCUAGUUGGCGGGGUAAAGGCCCACCAAGGCGACGAUCCGUAGCUGGUCUGAGAGGAUGAUCAGCCACACUGGAACUGAGACACGGUCCAGACUCCUACGGGAGGCAGCAGUGGGGAAUAUUGGACAAUGGGCGCAAGCCUGAUCCAGCCAUACCGCGGGGGUGAAGAAGGCCUUCGGGUUGUAAAGCCCUUUGUUGGGAAAGAAAAGCAGCAGGUUAAUACCCCGCUGUUCUGACGGUACCCAAAGAAUAAGCACCGGCGAACUUCGUG
rnacentral:rRNA from 1 species